GCCUUUGAAUUGUCCCUCCUACAUGCCUGAAACCCGCUCCUCUCUUACAUCCACCUCAUAGAGUUUCUCUCUUCCUUUAAGACUAAGUCCAAUAGAAAUGUGAGUUAUUGUUAUUUCUCUGAAACAUAAAACUACACAGCAUCUCUUUGUCCUUUAAAGUACUGACAAAAGAUCUCCUUAGCAAGAGAACUUAGCUCCAGAACAGCUUUAGUUGAGCAUUUGCUUUUAUCAACAACCCAAGGUCUUAAUGGUCCUCUAAAGAACUACACACAAUUACUGUCUUGAGUUCAAGGCCAUAUUUCCCUUCCCCCAAGACAGCUUCACUAGAUGAUGGGACCACAUAAAAACUGAAAGGAAGCAAGAAAGGCAUCUUUCAUUAAGGGUCCUUAGCCUCCAGUUUCCCAUCAUCCACUGGUCUAGUGGUGAGAAGGUAGGCAUUCCUGGGACAUGUAAUUUGGUUUGGGGUCUGAAGACUCAAGUGGUCUUGAGAACUACUUUGCCUUUUUUGUUCAUAGUUCUUUUGUGAACCACAAGAAAGAAUCAGAGACCAUCACCAAGGAUGUAGAGGAAACAACAGGAAACCAAACCAGGAGCCUAAAGUGGAACUAGAAGAGAGAGAAGAGAAGAGCAGUGGGAUUUUUUUUUUUCAAAUGGCACUGAUGAGACUCAUUCCCACUGGGGCCCUUCAGCUCUGUAACAUCCCCCUGGUAAGUAUCCAGAGCUAAAUCUACAUCAGUCACUGUAACCUGGUUAGACUACAGGCCUUAAGAAA
rnacentral:lncRNA from 1 species